UACGUAGGGGGCGAGCGUUGUCCGAAGUUACUGGGCGUAAAGCGCGCGUAGGCGGGUGUUUAAGUCGGCUGUGAAAGCCCGGGGCUCAACUCCGGAGGGUCGGCCGAUACUAUUCAUCUUGAGGGCGGUAGAGAGAAGUGGAAUGGCUGGUGUAGCGGUGAAAUGCGUAGAUAUCAGUCGGAACACCGGUGGCGAAGGCGGCUUCUUGGGCCGUACCUGACGCUGAGGCGCGAAAGCCAGGGGAGCGAACGGG
rnacentral:rRNA from 1 species